UGCCUUUGUGUUGCCCAUUCAUUACUUUCUCCAGUGAAUGUGGUGUCAGAAAAGGCGUAUAUUAACUCUAGCUGUCAUAUGGUCAAGAGUUGGAUAUACACCUUCUUUGUAUGUCAGCUAGAACAUAC
rnacentral:snoRNA from 1 species